rnacentral:rRNA from 1 species
UACGUAGGGUGCAAGCGUUAAUCGGAAUUACUGGGCGUAAAGCGUGCGCAGGCGGUUGUGCAAGACAGAUGUGAAAUCCCCGGGCUCAGCCUGGGAAUUGCAUUUGUGACUGCACGGCUAGAGUGCGGAAGGGGCAACUGGAAUUCUCGGUGUAGCGGUGAAAUGCGUAGAUAUCGAGAGGAACACCUGCGGCGAAGGCGGGUUGCUGGGCCGACACUGACGCUGAGGCGCGAAGCCAGGGAGCGAACGGG